rnacentral:lncRNA from 1 species
CAGCCUAAAUUAGCCCUGAUAAAGUGGAGAUUAAGGAUCUGGAGGGGCCCUCUAAAGCCAUCUGGUUCAAGCUCAUCCGCUGCUGUCUGACUGCCCUAAAGCCCUUAUACUUUCGUUUUUGUUGCUUUGACUUCUGGAUCAAUCUCAGUCUGGGUGACUUCACUCUACCUAUUGACUACUGGAUCUGUGACGUUCAGGAUCAGUGGUUUCUAGACAGUAUUCCUGAAAGAACCAACUCAUGAUGGAAUUUGAACUAUUUCUCCCUUGAGGUUGCUUAGAGGAAACUCUUUCCUCUGAAAAGAAAUCUGUUGAGAAUGAUUGCUCUCACACUGUUUGCAAAUCGAAACUGUGAAAGGUAAAGAAGGAUGUUGAAAGGAUUAUGCUGGAAGCAGGUAGGUUUUUUUUUUUACUUUCUGUGUAUUAUUUGAAUUCUGGAAAUUAAGUUGUUUGUAGUCCUUUCCUCUCCACUGAGAGAGAAGAGGGUGUGGAUGUAGCAGGAUGAAAAACUAGAUGGUCAAAAAUAUAUUUGUUCAUUUUAUCCCCUACUGCCACCCCCUCUCCUGGGCUUGUUAGUCCUGUCUUCUCUCAUCUCCAGUUGGUGCCUUGUUUGAUUUUUCUAUUUUCUUACAUGAUUUCUUCGAGUGAGCAGGUAAUCUAAAUACAUAACACUCAUCACAUACU